GCCAAGGUCACAAAGCAGGCAAGAUUAGCACCCAGGUCCCCUGACUCCCCAGCCCGUCCUCUUCGGUUAGCCAUAUUGUGUUUUUUGAUUGGCACCUCCUCAGUUGAUGAGGUUUGACAGGAGUAGAAGGUGGUUAGUUGAAACUAGCAGCCACACUUUGGGCUCACGAAGUUACCGCGCGGGACUGCGGUCCAGAACCAAGAAGGAAGAACUCAACUGUCAGAGGAGUCCCUGUGGAAGGAAACCUCAUUGUAAAAGUCAGUUUUCAGCUCCGAAUCACAGAUGUCUUACUAAUCAGCAGGGCUGGGAAGGAAAACAAGCAGAGCACGAUGCCCAUGUAAUGGUCUGAGUAAUAUAUUAAACUCAUAUAUCAAAAAUGAACAUGUGAUAGGAGAGAAUGCAGAAAUUAAAAAACAAGCUUUUCCAAGAUGGAUCUCUAUUAAUUCGCAUAGUAAAUGCACACUUUUAUUUUUCCCUGUUGAUUGGAAGAGUAUUAAUGAAGAACAGAUCUUAGGCUAAAUGUAUAAGCACUUCUAUCCGAAGGUCUGAUAAACCAGAUUUGGCCUUUGCCGAUGUUUCGAUGUGUACUAAUGUCUUUCCCUCGCGCUGCAGAUGAAGAGCCCCGCCGUCAAGUAGAUAAGUUUGAUGAAAUAGUUAAAACAGAUUUACCACGUGCCUGUCCUUUUAGACCAGCCCCCAGCAGAAGCACAUCUCGUAAUGCCAAACGAACAAUCGAUGGUCUUUAUUGAGCGUUUUCCGUGGGCGGAGCGCUCGGCUAAGCACUUGGGAUACGACGGCAAUAAGAUGCUCUCGGAUAUGAGAUGCGCAUUUACUACA